GAUGAAGAACGUAGCGAAAUGCGAUAAGUAAUGUGAAUUGCAGAAUUCCGUGAAUCAUCGAAUCUUUGAACGCAUAUUGCGCCCUCUGGUAUUCCGGGGGGCAUGCCUGUCCGAGCGUCAUUUCAACCCUCAAGCUCUGCUUGGUGUUGGGCCCUGCCCGCUGCGGCCGGCCCUAAAGACAGUGGCGGUGCCGCCUGGCCCUGAGCGUAGUACAUCUCUCGCUCCAGUGCCCGGUGGUAGCCUGCCAGAACCCCAACUCUCGUGGUUGACCUCGGAUCAGGUAGGGAUACCCGCUGAACUUAAGCAUAUCAAUAAGCGGAGGA
rnacentral:misc_RNA from 1 species